UGGACAGUGUGGCCAUACCACGUGGUUUGUGACGUCAUUUUGGCUAGCACGCUAUGUAGAAAUUUGUCAACAUUGGCCCCGCUUAGAAAUUUCAAAUCCACAUACACAUGAUGACGACCGAAGAGCGAUAUAUUUGUGCCAUAUGCGCCAGAGGGUACAAGCACAGGCGCAAUUUGGUUUACCAUGAAAGAACAAACGCUGGGAUGUUACCCUUUUAACUGUUGCGGCGUUGGGUUUUCAUCAAGACGACAAUUACAAAGAUACAGGUGCAAUGUACACGGUGACGGAAAAACUAUCUUUGCCUUUAUUGUGGAAAAGAAUUCGCAACGAAAGUAGAUUUAGAUGCCCACUCUGCCCGGGAACAGCGCACUCGAGAGAUCGAGUGCGAGAUAUGCAACCACAAGGCCACAACACGGGCUCAUCUCCGAGAACAUCUCAAAACACACAGCGAGGAAAAAACACACGUUUGCCAUGUGUGCAAAGCCGCCUAUAAACAUAUAAGUUCACUGUAUAGGCACUAUGGGCAAAAGCACAAAUGACGUGUAUACAGUGGUUUUACCUGUUUGUGAUUUAUUUGUGAUUUACCCGUGAUUUAUUUGUGAUUUACCCGUGAUUGAAUUGUUGCGAUAAAAGCAUAAUCAUCAAAUCUCAAGCAUAAUUAACAUUUGAACCGUAUCUGUUUAUACGAUGAUGUUUACUUGUUGCGUUUUUUUUUACUUUUUUUAUGUUUUGUUAAUGCUACUGUUAUAUUAUAGCAGUUGUGAUUUGUAUUGUGAUUAAAAUGUAAUUUUAUAAUUGUGAUUUAUGCUUUAUAAUCAGAUCUCAAGCAUAAUUAACAUUUAAAUCGUAUCUGUUUAUACCACGAUGUUAAC